rnacentral:rRNA from 1 species
UACGUAGGGGGCAAGCGUUGUCCGGAAUCAUUGGGCGUAAAGAGCGCGUAGGCGGCCCUGUAAGUCCGCUGUGAAAGUCAAGGGCUCAACCCUUGGAUGCCGGUGGAUACUGCAGGGCUAGAGUCCGGAAGAGGUGAGUGGAAUUCCUGGUGUAGCGGUGAAAUGCGCAGAUAUCAGGAGGAACACCGAUGGCGAAGGCAGCUCGCUGGGACGGUACUGACGCUGAGGCGCGAAAGCGUGGGGAGCAAACAGG